UAGAGUUUGAUCCUGGCUCAGAACGAACGCUGGCGGCAGGCUUAACACAUGCAAGUCGAGCGCCCCGCAAGGGGAGCGGCAGACGGGUGAGUAACGCGUGGGAAUCUACCCAUCUCUACGGAACAACUCCGGGAAACUGGAGCUAAUACCGUAUACGUCCUUUUGGAGAAAGAUUUAUCGGAGAUGGAUGAGCCCGCGUUGGAUUAGCUAGUUGGUGGGGUAAAGGCCUACCAAGGCGACGAUCCAUAGCUGGUCUGAGAGGAUGAUCAGCCACACUGGGACUGAGACACGGCCCAGACUCCUACGGGAGGCAGCAGUGGGGAAUACUGGACAAUGGGCGCAAGCCUGAUCCAGCCAUGCCGCGUGAGUGAUGAAGGCCCUAGGGUUGUAAAGCUCUUUCAACGGUGAAGAUAAUGACGGUAACCGUAGAAGAAGCCCCGGCUAACUUCGUGCCAGCAGCCGCGGUAA
rnacentral:rRNA from 1 species